rnacentral:RNase_P_RNA from 1 species
GGGAUUGAAAUGUUCUUUAUAUGUUAAAUGUUUCGUUUUGAGAUUGAUAUAUGUUGGUCAAUUCCAUCUCGGGAAGGUCUGAGUAAAGGUCGCCGGUGUUGGUACUUUACCCUCUAGCCGGGGGCGUCGCUCACAGCGAUGGCGGGGAAACCAGAAAUAUUGACCCUAGAAUUAGUCAAGGAAUCUUUCCAGAGGAGACGUAGCUCUAAAGGUCAUUGGAAGUUCCCGUGGCCGGCCAUUUUAGUUUGAUCUGUGACACGGUUCCGCCGUAACUCAAUUCAGACUAGUCUUCGGCUCGC